GAUGAAGAACGCAGUGAAAUGCGAUAAGUAAUGUGAAUUGCAGAAUUCAGUGAAUCAUCGAAUCUUUGAACGCACAUUGCGCCCGUCGGCACUCCGGCGGGCAUGCCUGUCCGAGCGUCAUUUCAACCCUCAGGACCCCCUUCCGGGGGGGACCUGGCGCUGGGGAUCAGCGGCCUCCGGGCCCCUGUCCCCCAAAUGCAGUGGCGGUCGCGCCGCAGCCUCCCCUGCGUAGUAGCACACCUCGCACCGGAGAGCGGCUCGGCCACGCCGUGAAACCCCCAAUUUUUCAAGGUUGACCUCGGAUCAGGUAGGAAUACCCGCUGAACUUAAGCAUAUCAAUAAGCGGAGGA
rnacentral:misc_RNA from 1 species